rfam:TPA: Bos taurus chromosome 24, whole genome shotgun sequence.
UCCCUGGUGGCUCAGAUGGUAAAGAAUCUGCCUGUAAUGCAGGCGACCUGGGUUCAAUCCCUGGGUGGGGAA